AGCGAACAUUGGCGGUAGGCUUAAUACAUGCAAGUCGAGGGGCAGCAUGACUGUAGCAAUACAGUUGAUGGCGACCGGCAAACGGGUGCGGAACACGUACAGAACCUUCCUUCGAGCGGGGAAUAGCCCAGAGAAAUUUGGAUUAAUACCCCAUAGUAUUACGGAGUGGCAUCACUUUGUAAUUAAAGAUUUAUCACUUGAAGAUGGCUGUGCGGCUGAUUAGAUAGUUGGCAGGGUAACGGCCUACCAAGUCUACGAUCAGUAACUGGUGUGAGAGCACGACCAGUCACACGGGCACUGAGACACGGGCCCGACUCCUACGGGAGGCAGCAGUAAGGAAUAUUGGUCAAUGGACGAAAGUCUGAACCAGCUAUGCCGCGUGGAGGAUGAAGGCCCUCUGGGUUGUAAACUUCUUUUAUAUGGGACGAAAAAGGGCCUUUCUAGGCCAACUGACGGUACCAUGUGAAUAAGCACCGGCUAACUCCGUGCCAGCAGCCGCCGUAACAC
rnacentral:rRNA from 1 species